AGAAACUUAGGAUAAUCUACUAAACCAAGAGCCUUCAAAGCUCCUAAUAGGGAUGAAACCACCCUAGUUUCUG
rnacentral:tRNA from 1 species